GUUUCUUAGAAAAAUGUCAUUGCAACAACAAUGUUCCAACUGCCGAGGGCCUGAUCUUAUCUACCAUGCUAUACAUAAUAUUUAAAUAACAAUAAUAACCAAAACUUUUUUUUAUUGUUAAUUGAGUUACUUCGACUUUAAUUAUAUAAAUUUUAUUUGAUAUUGAUAAGUUUCUUAAUUACGAUAUUUUACAGUUUCUUUACAGUUUAAAUUUUUUUUAAAUAUCCUAAACGUAGUUUUUGUAUACAAUAUACGGUAUUUGCGGUUGUAGUUAUACUUUUUUAGGUUCCACUUUUUAUGAUUAGUGAUUAGCAAUCUAUAAAUCCACAAUAAAUGUUUUUCUUGUCUCGAUUGUAUAUCGAGAAUGUUGGAAUAGUACAAGAUGAGAAUAUGCAGACUUUGUCUCAAGCUUAAUAUAAAACCCUAUUGCUUGAGGAAUACCGAAGAGCGACAAUUUCUUCAGGAUAUAUUUAGGCGAAAUGGAUUUGUUGUGGCAAGUAUAAUAUACGUCUUAAUUUUUACUUAAUGGUUCACUAAUGGCAGCAGCGUCUUUCUUAAAAGAACACUUUAGGAGCAAAUGUUAAAGUUAAGGUAUAUAGAUUGGGCCACAAUUGAAAAGCCUAAAAUUAAAAAAACAAUUGGGGCUUAAAAAAUUUUGUUGACUUUUCUGAUGUCCAUAACAGUAAGAUGUAGGUGCAAAGUUUUUGCAUGUAAAUCUUACUGUUAUAAUGACAAAUAAAAUGAAAAAUGACUAUGCAAUAUAUUCUAUAAUUAACAUUUAAGUUUCCUAGCAGAGCACUUGUUAAAUAGAUCUCAAGAAAGAAUUAUUCAAGAAUAUUAAAUUGCGUUUAAAAAUUUACAGAAUUUGAACCCAAAUCAUUAUGCUUGUUUUGAAUGCAUAGCUCUUCUAAAGAAAAGCUAUGAUUUUAUAAAAAUAAUACUAAAGGCACAAGAUAUAUUGAAGAACAUUUGUGGACAGCAUAAAAAGAUUAAUAUUAUUCAUUGCUAUGCAUGCAUUCAUUGACAGCACAGGAGAUGCCUGGUCAAACGAAAGUCACGCGAGUAAAUAUUAACGAGUGCUUGUGUCUGAAAUCGAAACUUCGAUAGGGUUUCGAUCUGGAACAAAGAUAACUUUGUCAUAACAAUCAUCAGAGGGCUCUGAUGAUUGUUAUGACGACAGUGGAAAAAAAAUUAGGAAAAAAACUAAUAAUGAAAUAAGAGGGUAUCCAUUUAAAUGUGAAAAGUGCGACUAUGAGGUUACGUCGGCAAUAAACCAUUGGCAUCACUACUUGAUAGCACAUUCUUAUAAAGAAUAUCCAUAUCAUCAGGAGAAGGAAUUUAUUUGUCAUAUCUGUAGCAUUACUAAAACUGUGAAGAUGAAAUGGUAACCCUGCCUACGCUAUCGGUACACGCUGACGAGGUACCUGUAAGUGAUGAUACGUGAAGAUGAAUCUAGGUCAGUUAGCCCAUCGCAACAAGUUCCACAAGAAUUAACAACGAUGGUUUCCAGGAGGAACCGCGUGGAGAAUAUAACUUACCUCAAAAGCCACAUUGAAACUCACGGCAAAAGAAAUUAUGAGUGUGAUAUUUGUCAUAGGAAGUUUUAUACAAAGUCUCGAAUACAGCAUCAUUUGGUCUUGGUGCAUGGCACUGAAAAGUUAAUAUGUGACUAUUGUUCGAAGAGAUUUUCUUCAAGAAUAGAUAUUAUACGACAUAUAAGGGUUCACACUGGAGAAAAGCCGUUCAAAUGCCACAUUUUUAGCGCUGGUUUCGCUCACAAAGGCAACAUCGGUAUUCACAUUAGGACCAAACAUCAAAACUAUCCAAUUGAGAAUAAAAAGAAAACAAAAAAUAAGACUAUUCAGCGACGCAAUGGUGAAAAACGAAGAGGCAGGAGGAAAAAGUAGAAACAUAAUUCAUCAGAUAAAGUUGUUAAAGGCUGAAGUUAUUAAAUUAGAUAUAUGGUUGCCGACUUUUUUUGUAAUAUUUAUAAUCUAAAAUUAAUAAAUAUUUUUGCUAUAA